rnacentral:rRNA from 1 species
GAUGAACGCUGGCGGCGUGCCUAAUACAUGCAAGUCGAGCGAACAGACGAGGAGCUUGCUCCUCUGACGUUAGCGGCGGACGGGUGAGUAACACGUGGAUAACCUACCUAUAAGACUGGGAUAACUUCGGGAAACCGGAGCUAAUACCGGAUAAUAUAUUGAACCGCAUGGUUCAAUAGUGAAAGACGGUUUUGCUGUCACUUAUAGAUGGAUCCGCGCCGCAUUAGCUAGUUGGUAAGGUAACGGCUUACCAAGGCAACGAUGCGUAGCCGACCUGAGAGGGUGAUCGGCCACACUGGAACUGGACCACGGUCCAGGCUCCUACGGGAGGCAGCAGUAGGGAAUCUUCCGCAAUGGGCGAAAGCCUGACGGAGCAACGCCACGUGAGUGAUGAAGGUCUUCGGAUCGUAAAACUCUGUUAUUAGGGAAGAACAAAUGUGUAAGUAACUAUGCACGUCGUGACGGUACCUAAUCAGAAAGCCACGGCUAACUACGUG